UACGUAGGGUGCAAGCGUUAAUCGGAAUUACUGGGCGUAAAGCGUGCGCAGGCGGUUAUGCAAGACAGAGGUGAAAUCCCCGGGCUCAACCUGGGAACUGCCUUUGUGACUGCAUGACUAGAGUACGGUAGAGGGGGAUGGAAUUCCGCGUGUAGCAGUGAAAUGCGUAGAUAUGCGGAGGAACACCGAUGGCGAAGGCAAUCCCCUGGACCCGUACUGACGCUCAUGCACGAAAGCGUGGGGAGCAAACAGG
rnacentral:rRNA from 1 species